rnacentral:tRNA from 1 species
AGUAAAUAGUUUAAUAUAAAAUGUUAAUUUUGGGAAUUAAUGAUGAGCUUAUGCUUUUUACUGA